AGUGAACGCUGGCGGUAGGCCUAACACAUGCAAGUCGAACGGCAGCACAGUAAGAGUUUGCUCUUACGGGUGGCGAGUGGCGGACGGGUGAGGAAUACAUCGGAAUCUACUUUUUCGUGGGGGAUAACGUAGGGAAACUUACGCUAAUACCGCAUACGACCUACGGGUGAAAGCAGUGGAUCUUCGGACCUUGCGCGAUUGAAUGAGCCGAUGCCGGAUUAGCUAGUUGGCGGGGUAAAGGCCCACCAAGGCGACGAUCCGUAGCUGAUCUGAGAGGAUGAUCAGCCACACUGGAACUGAGACACGGUCCAGACUCCUACGGGAGGCCGCAGUGGGGAAUAUUCGGCAAUGGGCGCAAGCCUGAUGCAGCCACACCGCGUGAGUGAAGAAGGCCUUCGGAUCGUAAAACCCUUUUAUUGGGGAAGAAAAACAGCGGGUGAAAACACGCCUGUUCUGACGGUACCCAAAGAAUAAGCACCGGCUAACUUCGUG
rnacentral:rRNA from 1 species